rnacentral:rRNA from 1 species
UACGGAGGGGGCUAGCGUUGUUCGGAAUUACUGGGCGUAAAGCGCACGUUGGCGGCUUUGUAAGUUAGAGGUGAAAGCCCGGAGCUCAACUCCGGAAUUGCCUUUAAGACUGCAUCGCUCGAAUCAUGGAGAGGUGAGUGGAAUUCCGAGUGUAGAGGUGAAAUUCGUAGAUAUUCGGAAGAACACCAGUGGCGAAGGCGACUCACUGGACAUGUAUUGACGCUGAGGUGCGAAAGCGUGGGGAGCAAACAGG